CGACCCAGUGAUCUGAAAGCAAAAAGACCCGUUGGACACUGCUGAGUGCUGGGCCCAUGGGCUGUCUAAAUAACCAAGAAAUGUUUACCGUCAUGAUGCACUGUAACGAAAGGAAAGAGAGAGAGGAGAGGAGAGAAGAGACGCCAAAAAACAAAAGCACAAACUCCUGAAAGAAUACCACAGAAAGGAGAUUUCUUUUUUUUACCCCCUGCUAGGAUAACUGGAAGAUUUAGGUAUCAUGCAGAGAAAAAGCAUGCGAUUCAGAUUAAACAAAAGAAAAAGGAAAUUAUACAAAAUUUAAUUUCUAAUGAAUUAAACAAAAGAGUCAACUCAAUAGAAAGGGGGUGUAAACACCCUUAACUCAACCUAAAACAAUAAUAAAAAAUAAAGGAAGGGGGAGGGGAAAAAGAAAUGGAACUAUGGGCCUGAAAAAAUAUAUCUUGGAAAUUAAACAUAAAAGGAGAUAAAGCCAAAAUUUUAAACUUCAACCAAAUCCUCAAUUAAUUUAACAAUUUUUUUUUCUUUUGAAAAGAAAAAGUUGCCUGAAUAGAACCCUAAACAAAUAUCACAUGGGGAAAAGAAAUGAAAUAAAGAUGAGAGUUUUUUUGUUUUUGUUUUUAAAUAUAAAGUCAAGGUCACAAACUGACAUUUUAGCAGUUUUCAACUAAAGGGGAAAAGAAAGGAGGGGACAAAAAAAAUGGAAGUCAAAUAGUCUGAUCAAAAACAAACGAAAAAAAAGAUCUCUAUAGAUAUUCGUGUGUGUCCUUUUCCCCUUGUAGAAGGUAGCUAAGGCUCUUGAGUGGCUUCUAAUAAAUUCUCUCAUGUCUUUGCGGAUUAUAUCCACUUACCAAGCAAGAACUCCUCCUUUAGUACGUAGGUAAGGUGUAAGAGAAAGGGAAGAGCGGGCAACGUGAGUCCAUCAUUAGAGUCGCAAUUGACAAGAAAAAACACACACCUUUCUGCACAUCCUCAAACUCGGCCCUGAACUUUGAGUUUUGUUUUUUUUUUAGUGCCCUUGACAGGUGGGGGCAUCAAUUCUGUUUGGUUUUGUCAUAAAGGGGACCUAACAUAGUCAACCUAAUCAAUCCCUUAGGGCCCAAGUUGGGGCAGGAAACCCUUGUGGAAUAAUGCGAAUGGCGGCUAGAGUAUUGCAUCGACUACCUAGGUGUGAAAUGGAGGGGACACGAGGGAGGGAGGAUGCGCUUGCAACAGAGGGCUUUGGAAGGCUUGGAGGGCUUGGAGAUUGGGCUUUGGGGUGACUGGGAAUAAAGACAGGCCCUCAGAACCCUGUCUAGGGCUGAUCUAGGACUGAUGAAGGAGUAAGGGAGGUGAUGGAAAGCCAGCACUUGGGAAGGUGGGCACGCCUUUAGAAGCAUGAUGGGGGGUUUUCUUUAAACGUUCGGACCUGUCGUGGCUGGGAUGACACAGUAAGUUUGAUGCUGGCCUCUGCUAGCGCUUAGCUGUGGAUAGAAGGGACCCCUGCCAUGGGCCUCCUCCAGAGACAGUCAUCCCUAAGGGAUGAGAAAUCUGGAGUCCAAGAAGGCACCCUCUUAAAACUACUGCCUGCCUCAACCACUCUCUGGGUACCUGAAAUCCCAGAAUUCUCUGUUUAAAUGGUUCCUAUGCCCCUUUCCACGUCUCUGUAGGCCUCAUCCAUGGACCCAUUCUCCCGCAGGUAGACCAUGCUUUGAGUGUGCACACUCCUAGGUCCAAGGGUAGCUAUUUGGAUAGAACUUGGAUGCUCAGGCUGAGGGGUCUGUAUGCAUGUGUGCAAGCCCCGUCAUGGUGUUGGAUGUGCCAGAGGCAGGGAGAGAAAGGGAUGGUUCCAGGGCCAGAUUCUCCCCACACUGCCAUGUCACAGCCUGGCACUCCGAAAGGUUCCAGGUCCAAGAUUCUAAGUCCAGGUCUUGGUUCCAGGUCCAAGAUUCUAAUUUCAUAACUGAAUUCCAGAUCAUUCUGAAGGUAUGUUUGCCAAGAUAAAUGAACACAUUUUGUUUAAGUUUGUGGACUUAUUUAUAAACAUUUAAACCUCUAGCAUAUAGACCUUCUUCUGUAUCUUUGCCCUGACCCCACAAAUGUUAGGGCAGGUUUCGCCAUAAAAAGCCACUCUUCCCCCAAAUUUUAUCUUAUGCAUCUUGGCUCUAAAGGAGGGGGCACUUCUGGAAUUUCUUAAGAACCAUUUCUGCCUUCUCAGCAAUUGGUCAUGAGGGUAAAACACAGAGACAAUGGAACUGUGAGAAUAGCAUAACUCCAGGGCUCAGGAUGUCAGCUCCUGGAGCUGGGGAGGCCGGGCUUCCUUUACAGAUUCUCCCAGGAGGCUUUGCACACAGGCAAGGUGAUAGCCUAUCUUUAGCAAGUUCUGUCCAGCACAGCUGCCACUUUACCUGCUUGGCACCCUGGAUAGCUUUUCUUUGGGAGAAGGGACCUCAAAAUAAGGUUGUUCUGGUGGAGUUUUCUAGAGUUAAGACUUUUAAAACAAUAAUGUAAAGGCCCUGUUCCCAUUCAGUCCUCCUAUUUAUUUGUCUUUUUGUUUUGCAUUUUGGAUGCCACAUCUUUCUCAACUCUGGAGUUCAAUGGCAACAGGUGUACCUCCAUCACUCUGUCUGGAAUGCAUCAUGCCAGGGGGCAGGAGCACUUUCAACAAGUCAUCAUCAGAGAUGUUCUGAUAGUUUAAUGGUCUCCUAAACCUCAGACUCCACCUUCUCCAGAGCUCUCCGUUCACUCCACAUGAAGAGGAGGAAGGAAGACAUAAUUGAGGGAAGCCCAAGGUUGAAGGCUGAACACUGGAGCAUAAAUUCUCUAGUACGUCCAGACUGCCAAACAGGCAGAGAAAAUAGGUUUUGGCAGCAGAGAAUACCAUCUGGAACCUGGAAGUCAGCCAUGAGCCCCAAAGUGCUGAGGGUGAGGAUCUAUACAUGGACUCUAUCUGCUUCAAUACCCCAGAUCAACACUGGAAAACUGGUGAGCUGAGUUAUGCUUUGUUUCAGAUAUGCUUUCUUCAGCCCACUUAGGAUGUCGGGAAGUAAAUUUGAAUUAACUGCCAACAUUGGUAGAAUGGGGAGGUUUUGCAUAACAACCCCAUUUCCAGUUUCUGUUGAAAAAUAAGAUCUGGCAACAUUGGGCCUAUAUCCCUGCCUGGCAAGAAUUGGCUGAGAGCAAUUACAGCUGCCCCUUUUAGAUGGGGCAAGAGUUCUCCUGACCCCAAACCCCAAGAGGUCAUCAUUACUCACAUCUAUUAGCUGCCUGGCCACCAAGACAUCUAAGUUGGAGACCCUCUGUUCUAAAAGUUUGUUGCUACUCUGAUCCCUCUGUAAGUAACAUAAACCCGGUACAUCUUGUAUGUUUCAUCUCUUCCUCCCAGAUCUGUGAAGCGGAUUGCUCCACCUCUCCCAUCUCCACCUGUUUAAUUCCUGUUGGACUUUCGUCAAUGAAAGGAACCGGGAGACCACAUCCGUCAAACAACAUCCAGACCUCAGAACUAUUAUAAACUCUUCCUUUCUGGGUCAUGGUAGUCAAUCUCAGAUUUUUAAAAAAUUUCAUUAAAAACUUUUAAAUACAAAAUGGUUUUCCUAAACUCAAGGCCACUGGGGGGAAGUGAGCAAAUAGUUUCCUUUUUAUUCCGUCAACCCCCUCCAAUGUGAAGCUCCAGUUUCUCGUCCCUCUCUCUCUCGACUCCAAAGCUCGCCUCAUCUCCUUCU